rnacentral:rRNA from 1 species
UACGGGGGGGGGCAAGCGUUGUUCGGAAUUACUGGGCGUAAAGGGCGCGUAGGCGGCCUGCUAAGUCGGAUGUGAAAUCCCUCGGCUCAACCGAGGAACUGCAUCCGAUACUGGCGGGCUUGAAUCCGGGAGAGGGAUGUGGAAGUUCCAGGUGUAGCGGUAGAAAUGCGCAGAUAUCAGGAGGAACACCGGUGGCGAAGGCGGAUCUCUGGGCCAUUACUGACGCUGAGGAGCGAAAGCGUGGGGAGCGAACAGG